rnacentral:tRNA from 1 species
GGGGCUGUGUGCUAACCUGGUAUGCUUCCGCGUUCGGGACGCGGCGGUCUGAGUUCAAAUCUCGGCAGCCCCA